UAUUCAACAGGUGAGGUUGACCCGUACCAUACAUACAACAACUAUUACACACAUGGGUGAGGUUGACCAGUACCAUACACAACUAUUCACACAGGGUGAGGUUGACCAGGACAUACACAACUUUCACAAGGUGGAGGUGACCCAAGGACCAUACACAAAUUAUCACACAAGGUGAGGUUGACCAGUACCCAUACCCCAAACUGUCUCACAACACAGUGAGGUUGACCAGUACCAUACUACCACAAAACUAUUCACACACACGGUGAGGUUACCAGUACCAUACACAACUAUUCACACAAGAGGUGAAGGUUAACCAGUACCCUACACAACUAUUCACACAAGGUGAGGUUGACCAGUACCAUACCAACUAUUCACACAAGGUGAGGUUGACCAGUACCCAUACACAACUAUUCACCACCAGGUGAGGUUGACCAGUACCAUACACAACUAUUCACAAAGGUGAGGUUGACCGUACCAUACACAACUAUUCACACAAGGUUGAGGUUGACCCAGUUACCAUACAAACUAUUCAACAAGGUGAGGUUGACCGUACCAUACACAACUAUUCACACCAAGGUGAGGUUUGACCAGUACCAUACACAACUAUUCACACAAGGUGAGGUUGACCAGUACCAUACACAACUAUUCACACAAGGUGAGGUUGACCAGGACCAUACACAACUAUUCACACAAGGUGAGGUUGACCAGUACCAUACACAACU
rnacentral:lncRNA from 1 species